AUGGCAGUGUUACAAGUCUUCCAAGCCAAACUCCUCGCUGCCACUGACGAGUCUGGCCCGGAAACCGCAACUCUCAGAGAGCUGAGAAGUGCGAACUUGGCACUACGUGCUACUAAGAGCACUGCCCAGGCCAUAGGGCGCUCGAUGACUAGCCUGGUCAUCCUGGAUCGUCACCUAUGGUUAAACCUGACGGAGAUCAAGGACGCUGACAAAGUCCCGUUCCUGGAUGCACCAAUCUCCCCCAGCGCCCUCUUUGGACCAGCAGUGGAAGGGUUCGCCGAACGCUUCACUGAGGCACAGAAGUCGUCCCGGGCGAUGCGACACUUCCUGCCAAAGCGUGCUUCAUCUGCUGCUGCCAGUCGCCCCAAGCAAGCUCCGACUCGCCUGCCUCCAAAGCAAGCGCCCGCCGCUGCUGCUGCUGCCCAGCCUGAGAGAUCCGAGCCUCGACACGUGGCGUCACGGACGUUUGAAUAUCAAGGUGAGUCAGAACUGCAUUUUGGCCCUGACCCCUUGGAGGGACAUGCAAUGGAUGGAAUGGGGUGCCCCGCUUGGUAUGGUUUGCAGAAGGAAAGUAAUCUCAACAGAUGUGUCCAACACAGGUUGGGGCGCACUGUACGAGAGGAAACCCACUUUUGGCCGAUGGUUGAAAGAGGAAAGCAGGCUUCACAUCAACUGCCUCGAGAUGAUCGCAGUUCGGCGAGCCUGCCAGAGCUUCCUGUCAGACCUAAAGAGCCACCAUGUGCUGGUCAGAUCAGACAGCAUGACGGUGGUGUCAUACAUAAAUCACCAAGGCGGGCUGUCAUCGACGCGACACUUCAGGCUAACGUCGCGACUGCUGGAAUGGGCCCAGAACAACCUGGGUUCACUGAGGGCAGUGCACCUACCGAGCAAAUUGAACCAGGGUGUGGACAUGCUGUCGAGAAGCGGACUCCCCUCAGAGGAGUGGAGGCUUCACCCACAGAGAGUUCAGAAGAUAUGGGAGUUCUUCGGCGAAGCAGAAAUAGACCUCUUCGCCCCAAAAGACAACUCUCAUUGCCCAACAUAUUUUUCCAAGUUCGAGGACGCGUUGGCCCAGGACUGGCCCAACCGCCUUCUUUACGCUUUUCCUCCGAUUCCUCUGAUUCCCCAAGUAAUCAGGCGGGUCAGGGAUCAGAGAUGCAGAGUUCGUCUUGUGGCCCCACUCUGGGAAAACCAACAUUGGAUAGCCGACCUGUCACAGAUGCUGACGGCGGCCCCGUGACUCAUUCCUCUGAGACGGAACCUCCUUUCUCAGGCGGGACAAUUUGGCACCCACACCCAGAGCUGUGGGCUCUGCACCUUUGGUCGCUCAACGGGAACCCACGGGACUCCCUGAGGGCAUACUAG
ensembl:lncRNA